rnacentral:tRNA from 1 species
GGCCUCGUAGCUCAGUUGACUAGAGCGUUGGCUGUACUAAAGCCCUUCAAAUGCUGAAGUGGGUUCAAACCCCACCGAGUCCA